rnacentral:lncRNA from 13 species
CUACCGUCCCCACCCACCAGUGUCCUGGCCUCAGAUAUCCGAACAGCCAUUCUGAGCCUGCCCAUCAGAUAAAGGGUAUUCUUACAUCAUGUCUCUCUUGGCCCCCAGCACUGAUGGUGCCAGCUGUUAGCCAACCGUAGGGAUGAAUUUCAAAACAACAAGCACAGAAGUAGAAGGGUGCUGGAGGGGCAGAUAUGUUUUUCCUCUGACUAUCCUAAACCCUCCCACAAAGCCCCUCGCUUCCCAGGCCAUGUUUUUGUGGUGAAGAUUGACCACGGACCAGCAUCUGCAGGCAGACAUUCAAUCAAUCUAGCCCUGGGCUACAGGAUCAAACACAGGACACCCUGUUCAACUGGAAUUUCAGAUAGCCUGUGAGCUUCACCUCUGGACAGCAACCCCAAAACUAUCUUCAGAGUUCAAGCCUGUGGUUCAAGCCUGGGCACAACUUUUCAAGAAGCCCCAGAGUCUCACUCUCAUAUAGGCUGGAGUGCAGUGACAUGGUCUCAGCUCACUGCAACCUCCACCUCCUGGAUUCAAGUGAUUCUCCUGCCUCAGCCUCCCGAGUACCUGGGAUCACAGGUAUGCAACACCAUACGGCUAAUUUUUGUAUAUAUAGUAAAGAUGGGGUUUCACCAGGUUGGCCAGGCUGGUCUUGAACCUCAAGUGAUCUGUCUACCUUGGCCUCCCAAAUUGCUGGGAUUACAGGCAUGAUCCACCGUGCCUGGCCAGGAUUGUUUAUCUUGUUACUCUUCAUUUGUACUUCUUUAUAUGUUCUGGAAAUAAACCCUUUGUCACACACA